GCUGAAAGCGAAGAAGCUACGAUUGUCUCCAAAUGUUGGGCUUCCGGCAGUAGGGAGUGCGCCGCAGCGACGUAGUCCGAACGCGGGUAACACGUUAUAAGGGGUGACGACGGAGGGCAUCCUCAGACCCGGCACAGAGUCAGGGUCACACCGGCCAGUGGGAGAGUCCGGCCGAUGGGCAGCAGCGGAACCAUUCGGUAAUGGAGUGGUUGUUCGACUAUCCGGCACUCGGGUAGAUUUUGGUGAGGUAUUGCGAAAGGUGGUUGUGGGGUACGCCUCUAACCAGCAUAGGCCAUAAUCUGGGUCAAAGGGUCCGAAUAGGGUCUCAGUUUCCAUCCAGUGAGUGCAUAAUGAGUGGGCAAGCGGUGAUUAGGUGGAUCGUUCGAUCCGAAGUAGCAAGCUGAACGUACACAAUUCGUGCGGCGGUCGCAAGCAGGACUCGGUUCUAGUUUGAGAUUU
rnacentral:rRNA from 1 species